rnacentral:rRNA from 1 species
CCACGCGAAGCGUUCUCCCUGAGACUUAGAGUCUCCUGAAGGAACGUUGAAGACGACGACGUUGAUAGGCCGGGUGUGUAAGCGCAGCGAUGCGUUGAGCUAACCGGUACUAAUGAACCGUGAGGCUUAACCUUACAACGCCGAAG